GCAGAGGGGGCUUAGUGGUGGGGUGACUGCGUACCUUUUGUAUAAUGGGUCAGCGACUUAUAUUCUGUAGCAAGGUUAACCGAAUAGGGGAGCCGGAGGGAAACCGAGUCUUAACCGGGCGUUAAGUUGCAGGGUAUAGACCCGAAACCCGGUGAUCUAGCCAUGGGCAGGUUGAAGGUUGGGUAACACUAACUGGAGGACCGAACCGACUAAUGUUGAAAAAUUAGCGGAUGACCUGUGGCUGGGGGUGAAAGGCCAAUCAAACCGGGAGAUAGCUGGUUCUCCCCGAAAGCUAUUUAGGUAGCGCCUCGUGAAUUCAUCUCCGGGGGUAGAGCACUGUUUCGGCUAGGGGGCCAUCCCGGCUUACCAACCCGAUGCAAACUGCGAAUACCGGAGAAUGUUAUCACGGGAGACACACGGCGGGUGCUAACGUCCGUCGUGAAGAGGGAAACAACCCAGACCGCCAGCUAAGGUCCCAAAGUCAUGGUUAAGUGGGAAACGAUGUGGGAAGGCCCAGACAGCCAGGAUGUUGGCUUAGAAGCAGCCAUCAUUUAAAGAAAGCGUAAUAGCUCACUGGUCGAGUCGGCCUGCGCGGAAGAUGUAACGGGGCUAAACCAUGCACCGAAGCUGCGGCAGCGACGCUUAUGCGUUGUUGGGUAGGGGAGCGUUCUGUAAGCCUGUGAAGGUGGCCUGUGAGGGUUGCUGGAGGUAUCAGAAGUGCGAAUGCUGACAUAAGUAACGAUAAAGCGGGUGAAAAGCCCGCUCGCCGGAAGACCAAGGGUUCCUGUCCAACGUUAAUCGGGGCAGGGUGAGUCGACCCCUAAGGCGAGGCCGAAAGGCGUAGUCGAUGGGAAACGGGUUAAUAUUCCCGUACUUGGUGUUACUGCGAAGGGGGGACGGAGAAGGCU
rnacentral:rRNA from 1 species